AACGUGCUGAAGUUUGGUGAUUGAUCACCUGCAGAAACCCUAGCUAAAGGGAGAAGAAGGAACAUCUGUAAGAGAGAAAUGAAUGUAACAUUAUAAAAAAAUCUAUUCCACUCACUGUAUAUCUUUUACAUUUAUACAUAUAUGUACACGUGUAGCGUUACUAACUAUCUCAUUAACUCCCUAAAUAAACUAAACCACUUCUCAUAAUGAGGUUACUCCUUUCUCCUCAACAGAAAGUAAACCGUAGCUAAUUAUUUAGUACCUUGAGGAAGAACUAAUAGUGAUAACGUCGCAUUAAUAACCUGGAGAGUGGAGAAGCUAUUACACAAUUUACACUUUGAUUCCCUAGAAACUAAUCGAAUCAACUGAAGCACUACUAUAGAUGCAUGCAAUAUAUCAAAAUGACAAAAGAAAAGAGCAUUAAAAACAGAAAAUUGUCAUCAGAAAACUUGCUAGUACAUUGGCUUAAAUGAAUACUCUAUUGGCCUUGCAAUCUUCCGAGCUGGUUGACAACAGUCUAGUCAGUCCUUCUCGCUCUUCUGUACAUCUUUCAGUUCUUGGUCUCAUCCGAUGAACAACUUUGUCAAUCAUGUUUAGAGUGACCCAUGCCUGGACUAUGACCUGGGUUAACAGGAUGAAAAGAAUCUACACUUCCAUAAAUCUUAAUCUAUGUUUCAAUAUAGAUAGCUUCUUUUCAAUCUGUGCACCAAGUGUUAUUUUUGCAAACGACACGAUUUACAUUCUCUUUUGUCCCAAGAAUUCUGCCUUGGCUGAAAAUAACUAGGUUUGAAAAGAUGAAUAACAUGAAGAAUGAACUAGUGAUAUAAAAGUUGGCCAUUUUAGGGAAAAGCUUGGGAGUUGGGGUGGUGGGGGUUUGUGAAUAGUCAAGAGGACUCGAGAAGCUUAGUAUAGUGACUGUGGCGAGAGUUUU
rnacentral:lncRNA from 1 species